UUGACAGCCAUGGAGACUGAAGUCCUCUCUAGAAAAGGUACAGCAUAUAGGCAGUGUCAGUGUAUGCACCUUCACACUGCCUCACCAUUAUGCCUCAACCCUGUUCUGGGGGGAGCCUCCUGUAGAGUUGAGUGGUUCAGUCUCCUGACCUUUGGCUUUUUUGAUGCU
ensembl:misc_RNA